rnacentral:snRNA from 1 species
GUGUUGGCUUCGGCAGCACACACACUAAAAUUGGAAUGACACAGAGAAGACAAGAAUGGACCCUG